AAAAAUGAUGAAAAAUGAAAAAAUGAAGAAAAAGAGAAGAAAAAAAAAACAAAAGAGAAAAGAAAAUAAAUAAAAAUUGUUCUACUCCAAUGAUUCUCGUACCGAGUAACCGGGGGUUGGCAUCUACAAAUGUCAACAUUCGCGUAAAAAGGUACUUGAAUUAAGAGUAUGCAAAGCAACUUGAGUAUGUGAAGUGUUGAGUAACCGGUGAUCUUCAUCUAAAAAUGUUGAUCCUCGCGUAAAAAGAUACUUUCACAACUUAAGUAAUAUUUAGCUAUAUUAUAUAAAUAAAUCCCUCUUUAAGUUAAAUAAGAAGAUGAUCAUGGGUUUAGGAAGCAUAUUAUUGACCACAUGAGUUACUUACUUGUAAGAUUGGGUAAGGAUGAAAAAUUGAUUUGAAUUUGUUAUAAUGACGGUAUAAUUGGCUCUCCUUUACUUGAUAUUAUGAGUACUUGAACUUAAUUGAAUAAUUGCAUAAUGGUUAUUUACUUUGUUUUGAGAAAAUGAAGUUGAAAUGCUACAUAUGCUUAUUUUCAAAUUUUGGAUCAUUGUCGGUUUGUAUUUCUUAUUGCUUGAGGACAAGCAAUGGUUCAAGUGUGGGGGUAUUUGAUAAGAGUAUAUUUUACGUAUUUUUAGUGUGCUUUAUUAAUUAGUUUUGGUGUGUUUUAUUUAGUUUUAUAAAUAAUUAACUAAGAUUCUAGUGAAAAUAUGCAUUUUGUGGUU
rnacentral:lncRNA from 1 species